CACCAGGCGCGAAAACUUUGCAAUGCGGGAAACCGUGACAAGGGAACUCUGAGUGCCCGUUAAAUCGGGCUGUCCAUCGGUUUAAAUAACCGGUGAAGAAAGGGCCGGGCAAGACCGGUGCCAGCCGCCGCGGUAAUACCGGCGGCUCGAGUGGUGGCCACUAUUACUGGGCUUAAAGCGUUCGUAGCUGGUUUGUUAAGUCUCUGGGGAAAUCUUCCGGCUUAACCGGAAGGCGUCUCAGGGAUACUGGCAGACUAGGGACCGGGAGAGGUGAGAGGUACUCCAGGGGUAGGAGUGAAAUCCUGUAAUCCUUGGGGGACCACCUGCGGCGAAGGCGUCUCACCAGAACGGCUCCGACAGUGAGGGACGAAAGCUGGGGGAGCAAACCGGAUUAGAUACCCGGGUAGUCCCAGCUGUAAACGAUGCGCGUUAGGUGUAUCGGUGACCACGAGUCACCGAGGUGCCGAAGAGAAAUCGUGAAACGUGCCGCCUGGGAAGUACGGUCGCAAGGCUGAAACUUAAAGGAAUUGGCGGGGGAGCAC
rnacentral:rRNA from 1 species